GAUGAACGCUGGCGGCGUGCCUAAUACAUGCAAGUUGAGCGAACAGACGAGGAGCUUGCUCCUCUGACGUUAGCGGCGGACGGGUGGGUAACACGUGGAUAACCUACCUAUAAGACUGGGAUAACUUCGGGAAACCGGAGCUAUUACCGGAUAAUAUAUUGAACCGCAUGGUUCAAUAGUGAAAGACGGUUUAGCUGUCACUUAUAGAUGGAUCUGCGCCGAAUUAGCUAGUUGUUAAGGUAACGGCUUACCAAGGCAACGAUGCGUAGCCGACCUGAGAGGGUGAUCGGCCACACUGGAACGGAGACACGGUCCAGACUCCUACGGGAGGCAGCAGUAGGGAAUCUUCCGCAAUGGGCGAAAGCCUGACGGAGCAACGCCGCGAGAGUGAUGAAGGUCUUCGGAUCGUAAAACUCUGUUAUUAGGGAAGAACAAAUGUGUAAGUAACUAUGCACGUCUUGACGGUACCUAAUCAGAAAGCCACGGCUAACUACGUGCCAGCCGCCGCAGUAA
rnacentral:rRNA from 1 species